rnacentral:lncRNA from 1 species
UACGUACAUAUGUACAUACGUUGCUGAUGGCACCGAGCGACGUCGCAGUGUGCGAAUAACGGUCCGAAAAUACUACGUUGAGCAAUUUUUUAGUAUUAUUUUUGUCGCGUGUAAAGUCGGUUGUUUUGUGAUUGGUAAAAUCGAAAUACUGAGUGAUGUUGAAACAGAGGACAAAACGCAAGACGACGGCCUGUUAAGAUUAUUAACAGAUUUUAAUUUGCCUGAUGUGCUUCCUUAUUUAAACGCUGCGCAUGGGACUUUGGAAAGUUUACAGUACAUGAGGAAGGAAGACUUGAAAGAAGCCAUACCACCUCUUGGCCUUCGGAUGGAAUCCCGGAGAAGCUCUUUAUGUGGAAAAAACGAGAGUUUGGAAUAGACGAUGAUAUAAUUUCCGUGCCAUCUAAUGUGGGUGCUUGGCUAGAAACGGCAACAGAAAAUACAAAGCAAAUCCUAAAAAAGGAUUUGACAACUUAGCUUAAGGAUUCUGGGCGAGGCCGAGCUCUUCUUAUGUCUGAUACAAAAAUAAAACACUUACAAAUGCAUAAAGGGAGGAUAUCAUUAAUAUUGUAGUGGAAGAGGUUAUUUCAAAGAAUAUUAAUCUAAAAGUGCAGGACUUUCCUUGCAUAGUGGACGAAGUAUGCUCCAUACUCCCCAGUGAAGUUAAUAUGCAGAACUAUUACUUCAUUUCGAGGCAAGGAAAAAACAAUCCGUCUGGAAAGUUGUAUUCAAAGUAUGAAAACCAAAAAUCGAAGCACCGAAAGGUUGAAGGAUUGUCUGAGCCGUCUGAGAGCAAAGAUAAAAACUAUGCUAACAGAUCGAUUGUCCAAACUCCAGAAGUUGAUGAGUCGGUUUCCGAAGCAUAUAAAACAUCCUUAAACAGAGACUGUGCGGAUUGGGCCGAAGUUUUCGACAAAUGGAAGAAAACUUUUCAUUUAAAUUUGAUUGUAAUUUGAGUCCUUUGGAUUUUUUUCAAGCUUGGUCAAAAUUGUCACAUGCACAGGCUUCUGAUUUGAUUGAAAUUGAUUUUCAGUUCAUGUAUCCUGAGAAAACACAUUUAUUCCUUGCUAAGUGGGAAACUUUUAAAGCAAAAAUUAUUAAUUACUAUGAGAAAAACAUAAGCAACGAAUAUUAUGUCCAGGACUAUUUAAUUACAAUUCUUCUAAAUGCUGUAUUACCUUCCGGCGCCAGAUUCAAAAGCGAAAGCGGUAAAAAACUAAGAAAGUAACUAUAGUUGAUUCUCAGGAAAGUUUGGUUUUGCGGUUCCCAACUUUGAAUGAUUACCAACGGCAGGUCUAUGCCAUAAUUAACCAAUACUACUCUGCAGGGUUAACCGUACAACCUUUUUCGAUUGUCGAAGGGCUGUCAGAUACAAAUAUAAGCGGUUUCUUUGUGUACUUUGAUAAUAAUUUGCUUAAGUUUAAUUCGUUCAUUCAAAGCAUAGAUAUUUGUUUUAAACUAUUUCAAAUAAUGAAUCUUAAAUAUCCAGAAGCUUGUCAGGACUCCUGGCUUUUUAUUCAAAUAUUUUUUUUUCAAAUUGAAACUUCAAGUCGUCAAAUAUUACAUCACUUGUAAGCUUUUUGAACACUGAUUAGAAAAUAACGGAAAGAUGUAUACUUGUUUUCGUUGUUUAAAAAUCUUUGCAGCACCUGCAAUUUUGAUAGUUCAUUUUAAAAAAGAUCAUUUAUUAACACGAAAACUGUUAAAAAUAUAAUGCAUUCAAAACAACUGUAAUCAAACUUUUACUAAUUUUUCUUGUUUUCGCAUACAUUUGGAAAAUAAAUAAAACGGAUAACGAUGAUGGUUUUGGCGACCACUUUAUUUCUUAAUUGUUAAUUCUGCCGGCUCGAGGUCAAAUGGUUUUAGAAAAUUUUUUUGAAUUAAAACACAGGAUUUUAGUUUUUUUUCGAUAUAUUUCGGUUACGCUUCAGUAACCGUCCUCAGGGCAACUAUUGACAAUCAUGUAAAACAUAAACAUAUACAUACAUAAAUACAAAUUUCAAAACAAUAAUUAAACACAAAAUGCAUACAUACAUUAAUUUACACGUCUGCACUGUUUGACGUGGAGUUUGGUUUGGAGUACAGUACCGUAAUGAAAAUGCUUUUGUACUUUGUCAACAAGUAGAGGUAAAAACAUUUGAGUCAUUUAAGAUCAUAUGAGAUAGGUUGUUUAGUUGAUAAAAUGUAUUUAAGACCUAUUGAAGAAUUUACAAGUCCACCUUUACAUAUAUAUCCUACAAAUAAUGGAAAAUCAUAUUUAAGAAUGAAAUAUCUGUAAGGUUAUAAUAAUAAAAAGUCCUAGAAAUUUUUCGAGAACGUGAUUUCGUAGGCCAUCGAAUGUCUGAAUAACAAUAUUAAUUUAUGUACACUGGCAAUCAAAAGUGAGUGCAUGGUGUUUUUAGUUUAAUAUU